rnacentral:lncRNA from 1 species
GCAGCAUGAUGAGUAUUACGGGGCAGAUGAUUCCGAGGGCGAACGCGAGGACGAGGAGGUGGUUCUACACCAACCGCGUGGCCGCCCACGCCCCUACGUUCGCAACGCAUGCCCGCUGGUACGUGAUGAUGACCAUGUUUCUAAACUGAAAUUGAAUAUACCCAUGUUUGAUGGUCGAUAUAAUCCUGAUGCAUAUAUAAGCUAUCCCAUAUUUUUUUGGAUAAUUAUUUGGAGUUGAAAAAGUAUUUUAUUCGAAUAGAUAUAUAACCCUAAAGGCAUUUAUAGGGCAAUUGUAUUUUUACAUAUUUUAUUUUGAAAGGAAAUUACUCCCAAAAGUUGAAUCAUGUUAAAACAUGAUUUUACAAAUUUUCUGGAACUUAUUUGGAUCAAUUUGGAGUUCAAAAUCAAAAGAUAUCAAAGAAAUAAAGAAAAGGGAAAAAGAGAAGGAAAAAAAAAGAGUAAACCGGACCGGUCCGACCGCUUGGGCCGAACCGGCCCCGUCUCGCCCG